AGGAAGUUUGUGCUAGAUUGAGGGACAUAUCCUUCAUCUGUCAUGGUUUGGAAUUAGUUGUCUUCUUUGAUAGUCCCAUCCAAGGUCUUCAGUUGCAACCAUGAUAUUAUGAUGUUCAUAGGAGAAUGUGCAUGGAGAUGAUGCCAUUCCCCUUGUUCUUGGAUGAGAGCAUUACAGACAGGGAAAGUAACCCUUCUUCACAUCUCAGGCUUGAUUGUACCUCUCUCUUGUCAGGACAGCAAUGCAUGUAACCAGAGACAAUGUUUGGGGACCGGGGAGAGAGAAGUGUUGCAGUCUCUGGAUUCAAGUUUUCUCACCUUUCCCAAAAUAGAACUCCUCAGCUUUCUGGGUCCUGAGAUAAUCUCCCAUGUGUCACUUGAGCCUACACAAGGCUUUGGGAAGUAAAACGGGGAUGCAGCAGAAGCCUCACUGACCAUGAUAAAUCAGAGGUCUUGGUGGAGUCUCACCGUAGCAAUACAAAGCACCUCUUAGCUCAGCCGAAGCCCAGCUAACAAGGCAGCAUUCCUUCAGGACCAGAACUGAAUCAGGUCAGGCUCACUCAGACUAAAAAUAAUUUCUCCUGUCAGUAUUUUUUACCCAAG
ensembl:lncRNA